GAGUUUGAUCCUGGCUCAGGAUGAACGCCCCUGACAGGCUUAACACAUGCAAGUCGAGGGGCAGCGGUGGUGAAGGCUUGCCUUUACCAGCCGGCGACCGGCGCACGGGUGAGUAACACGUAUGCAACCUGCCUACCACAGCCGGAUAAUCGGGAGAAAUCCCGUCUAAUACGGCAUAAUGCACCUAUGGGACAUCCUGUUGGUGCCAAAGGUUAAUUCCGGUGGCGGAUGGGCAUGCGUCGCAUUAGUUAGUUGGCGGUGUAACGGACCACCAAGACGACGAUGCGUAGGGGUUCUGAGAGGAAGGUCCCCCACACUGGUACUGAGACACGGACCAGACUCCUACGGGAGGCAGCAGUGAGGAAUAUUGGUCAAUGGGCGGGAGCCUGAACCAGCCAAGUCGCGUGAGGGAUGACGGCCCUAUGGGUUGUAAACCUCUUUUGCCGGGGAGCAAAGUGCCGCACGUGUGCGGUUUGGAGAGUACCCGGAGAAAAAGCAUCGGCUAACUCCGUGCCAGCAGCCGCGGUAAUACGGAGGAUGCGAGCGUUAUCCGGAUUUAUUGGGUUUAAAGGGUGCGUAGGCGGACGCUUAAGUCAGCGGUAAAAUUGCGGGGCUCAACCUCGUCGAGCCGUUGAAACUGGGUGCCUUGAGUGGGCGGGAAGUACGCGGAAUGCGUGGUGUAGCGGUGAAAUGCAUAGAUAUCACGCAGAACUCCGAUUGCGAAGGCAGCGUACCGGCGCCCAACUGACGCUGAAGCACGAAGGCGUGGGUAUCGAACAGGAUUAGAUACCCUGGUAGUCCACGCAGUAAACGAUGAAUG
rnacentral:rRNA from 1 species